rnacentral:lncRNA from 7 species
AGUUAGAAAUAGCUGUUCUUACAUGCUUAGGCUGUUUGAUUUUGGAACUUGGCGCUGGUUUUACUGGAGAUAGAAGAGCACCCACAAGCAGAGAAUGAAACAUCCUAUCCCCAGUCAGAGCUGUAACAGAAGGAAGGAGUGAAAGGGAUCAGUACGAGUGCUUACAGCUGAAGCCCUCUCAACGAAUUCCGUUCACAUUGAUGCAGACUCUGAAAACUCCAGUCCAACACACGCCACAGUCACAAAGGCAGGUGCAGUCCUCUUCAAAACCUGGAAUGGGAUGGCUUCAGUUCUCAGAGAGAAGCAAAGUUCAUCAGAGCUACGGAAGCACGGGCAAGGGAAGCAGGUACAGACCAGCUGGGAGGUAAUCACAGCUGUAUGCAGACACCACGUGCUGAAUAACAAGCAUGUCUACCAGAACUCAGGAUUCAGAGUCCUGGCUUAAAUCACCAAACUGACAUCACAUAGCUGUCGUUCAACCUACCAAGCUGAAAACUGCUUUGCAGCAUCGUUACAGACAAGGCAACGUGUACUUGGACAUCUUCAAGAAUGCACUGAACUUCUUUUAAACCUCUUCCCCCCAAGCAAAAUGUGAUGCUAUUGUGCAGCAGAGGUCGCUCUGUGUGGCUAGCUCAUGCAUAUGCCAUUUUGUCCUGGAUGUCAAGGACGAUUUUUAACAAGGAAAUCAGUUUUCAUUUAGAAGAACGCUCUGCCCCUGGAUGUGUUUCACAUCUAUUGUAAAUAAAGU